rnacentral:rRNA from 1 species
GGAUGAACGCUGGCGGCGUGCCUAAUCCAUGCAAGUCGAGCGAACGGCCGAGAAGCUUGCUUCUCUGAUGUUAGCGGCGGACGGGUGAGUAACACGUGGAUAACCUACCUAUAAGACUGGGAUAACUUCGGGAAACCGGAGCUAAUACCGGAUGAUAUUUUGAACCGCAUGGUUCAAAAGUGAAAGACGGUCUUGCUGUCACUUAUAGAUGGAUCCGCGCUGCAUUAGCUAGUUGGUAAGGUAACGGCUUACCAAGGCAACGAUGCAUAGCCGACCUGAGAGGGUGAUCGGCCACACUGGAACUGAGACACGGUCCAGACUCCUACGGGAGGCAGCAGUAGGGAAUCUUCCGCAAUGGGCGAAAGCCUGACGGAGCAACGCCGCGUGAGUGAUGAAGGUCUUCGGAUCGUAAAACUCUGUUAUUAGGGAAGAACAUAUGUGUAAGUAACUGUGCACAUCUUGACGGUACCUAAUCAGAAAGCCACGGCUAACUACGUG